AGGCAGCCAUGGUAUUGACAGAAAAAGACUCUGGAUUUGGAUUGCAGCUGUAGCAUUUACUAAAUGCACGUCACAACCUCUCUGAGCUUCAUUUUCCCCAUGUUUCAAAUGGGAUGCAGUGGACCCUGUUGCCUACCCAAGUGAAGAUAAGAAUACCUAUUUUAGGUUCAAGUGCCACAUAUGGGGCCACCAGAAGCUGUUGGCGCCCCUCCCACAUCCCUGUGGUCCACUCAGGAGGUUAAUUGCAGUCAACUGUCAUUCUGCUGGUGGCUUCCUGCGUCUUUCUGCCUGAGCUUGUUCUUUGGCCCUGGAGGAAUCCUCCACCAAUGAGAGAUGGGAAUUGUUGGAUAAAAGUCCCAGCUUCCACUCCAAGGCAUGUUCAUGAUCCAUGCAGCCUCUGAGAGGCCUCCCAUGGGCCUGAGCCCCAGUUGCCCACGCUGGUAAUACACACAUCUGCUCACUCUCCACUGGCUUUCCUCUCUCCCUUUCUCACUGCUUCACCUUCUCAUGGUGCCUCCUGGACCACUUCCCAAAUAAAUGAUUGCACUCAAAUCCUCAUCUUGGGGUCUGCUAAGGGGAAAUCCAAGUCCAGACACUGGCAUGACUCAAGUGCUUAAUAAAUAGACCAUGUCACUAUUGUAGUUUCUAGAUACCCAAAA
rnacentral:lncRNA from 1 species